AUUGAACGCUGGCGGCAUGCCUUACACAUGCAAGUCGAACGGUAACGCGGGGCAACCUGGCGACGAGUGGCGAACGGGUGAGUAAUGUAUCGGAACGUGCCCAGUUGUGGGGGAUAACUGCUCGAAAGAGCAGCUAAUACCGCAUACGACCUGAGGGUGAAAGCGGGGGAUCGCAAGACCUCGCGCAAUUGGAGCGGCCGAUAUCAGAUUAGGUAGUUGGUGGGGUAAAGGCCCACCAAGCCAACGAUCUGUAGCUGGUCUGAGAGGACGACCAGCCACACUGGGACUGAGACACGGCCCAGACUCCUACGGGAGGCAGCAGUGGGGAAUUUUGGACAAUGGACGCAAGUCUGAUCCAGCCAUGCUGCGUGCGGGAAGAAGGCCUUCGGGUUGUAAACCGCUUUUGUCAGGGAAGAAAAGGGCGACUCUAAUACAGUUGCCUCAUGACGGUACCUGAAGAAUAAGCACCGGCUAACUACGUGCCAGCCGCCGCAGUAAAAC
rnacentral:rRNA from 1 species